CCGAGAUGCCGAAGGAGCCGCCGCGCAAGCGCAAGCUGAGCCAUGAGGAGAUCAGGACGCUAUGGCACGGGCUUGAUCGGCCCGACAUGCCGAUCGAUCGCAGAAUCUGUCUGGCGCUGAAGUUCGCGCUGGCCACCGCGCUGCGAUCGAUCGAGUUUCUGCACAUCCAUCAGGAUGAGCUGCAGGGGCGCGGCCUGAAUGAUCCGAAGCCGCUGGUGAUCAUCCCCGAGGAGCGCGUCAAAAAGGCGCGCGAGAUUCAUCAGCCGCUGUCCGAUCUGGCGGUCGAGAUCGCCCGCGAAGCGAUGGGCAACUAUCCGUGGAUGUUCGCGGGCCGUUUCGGCACCGAGCCGCUGAAUCGCAAGGCGAUGGCCUGCGCGCUGCGCGGCAAGACCAAGCGCGUCAAGGGCAAGGUGGUGAUUGAAAGCGAAGGCAUCUGCCGCUUCCUCGGCAUGCGGCCUUUCACGCCGCAUGAUCUGCGCCGCACCGCCGCCAGCCUGAUGGGCAGCAUCAAGGUGCCGCGAUCGAUCAUCGCGCUUUGCCUCGACCAUGUCAUCAAGGCCGACGAGUUCGGCGAUGUCUCGGCGGUGACCGGGAUUUACGAUACCGAUCAGCGCAUCGACGAAAAGCGCGAUGCCCUGCAGAAGCUGGCCGAUGAGAUCAGGCGCAUCAUCAGCGCGCCGCCGAUGGAAGCCGACGAAGAGAUGCGGCAAGCUGCCUGACCUGAAAAAAAAUUAGCCGCCCCGCUUGAUCCGGGGCGGCUUUUUUGUUGCCAUCGGUCCCGCCAAGGCUGGGGCGCAGCCAAGGCGGCUAAGAUGCUUCCAUUGCUGCAGCCGAGGUUUCCCCUCGGGCUGGCCAUCGCCUGCGCGGCCCUGUGGUGCGCGCUGGCGAUCGGGGCUGUAUUGGGCCGGGGCGGCGAAAAUUCCGCACCUACGCCGCCGCCUGGGCCGCCGCAAAAGGCCAUUUCGCGGAUCAUUCGGGCCGAUCGGAUCGCCCCGGUGCUGGCCUUUGAUGAGCACUGGCAGGCCCCAGCGCCAGCUAAUCAUCAGGCGAUCAUGGCUGAAGCAAUCCAGCCCGCGCCGAAGCGCGCCCGGGAAGAAUCUACGGGCCGGCGGCUUCUUAACAGGUUAACCGAUCGGCGCAAUUCCGCUUUCCCGCCCUUCUAGGUUGCGUUACGGUUCCGUGGAAUCACCUUGGGGGGGCGGCGUGAGUUCAAAUUUCAAUGGCCAUGGGUAUCUUGAGCCCGGACUACAUGCUUUUGAUACCGACGAAUUGGAAGCACAUUUCGUAACCAGCUUCCCGCAUUCUUCGACCAGAUCACAAAUACUAACCGGUUAUCAGCAACACUCGGUCGAGAUCGCUGGAAUUGUCGGUAGCUGCGAUCAGUAUAUCGAUGGGAGUUUCGUCACGAACAAGAAUGAUCCGGGCGAUGUUGAUCUGGUGAUGCUUGUUGAUGCCCUUAUUGUCGACGCGUUGCCAAACGAUCAGAAGCGCAAGUUGAAGGAGCUUGUUUCAGGUCCGGCAACGAAGGCCAAGUAUAUGUGCGACGCCUACUUCUGCCCUAUUUACCCUGAUGGUCACCCUCUUAGCGAUCAUUCGCGCCAGCAGCGGAAAUAUUGGCUUGGAGAGUUCGGCUACGAUCGCAAUGAUGUCCCGAAAGGCAUUGUGCACAUCAAGCUUAUUCCACCACCACCCCCACCGGCCGCGCCAGCAGCACUGCCUACUCCUGUGCCAACCGUAACACUAUGAACCUUUGGGAAGACAUAGAUCCAGCAGAAGCGGAAGCGCGGAUGCGUGGGCUUGUGCGGCGGCUUUCCGAGCUAGAUGUAGCUUUGACAGCCGCUCAGCAUAUCCGUGCGCAGGCCCCCGAUAGCUUUUCGGCCGAAUUGAGUUUGGAGAGCCUCACGCAUUUGCAGCGUAGGCUAGAAGACGAGCGGAUUGAAUUAGUACGACAUCGAGCGCGAGAACGCCU
rnacentral:misc_RNA from 1 species